AUGGUCCAGCAUUGGCAGUAUGGUAACCAAUGAGGUUUAUCCGAGGUGCGAUUAUUGCUAGUCGAAAACAUUAUGUCCAGCAUUAAAUUCUGGGCAACACACACACAGAGUUAUUUAUGGUGGUCAAGAUAAGUGA